rnacentral:rRNA from 1 species
CAGUCGCCACGGUAAUACAGAGGGUGCGAGCGUUAAUCGGAAUUACUGGGCGUAAAGCGUGCGCAGGCGGUUAUAUAAGACAGAUGUGAAAUCCCCGGGCUCAACCUGGGAACUGCAUUUGUGACUGUAUAGCUAGAGUACGGCAGAGGGGGAUGGAAUUCCGCGUGUAGCAGUGAAAUGCGUAGAUAUGCGGAGGAACACCGAUGGCGAAGGCAAUCCCCUGGGCCUGUACUGACGCUCAUGCACGAAAGCGUGGGGAGCAAACAGGAUUAGAUACCCCCGUAGUCCCUGUCUCUUAUAC